GACGAACGCUGGCGGCGUGCUUAACACAUGCAAGUCGAACGGAAAGGCCCCCAUCUUGGUGGGGGUGCUCGAGUGGCGAACGGGUGAGUAACACGUGGGUGAUCUGCCCUGUACUUCGGGAUAAGCUUGGGAAACUGGGUCUAAUACCGGAUAGGACCAUGGUUUAGUGUCUCAUGGUGGAAAGAUUAUUGUUUUGGUGCAGGAUGAGCUCGCGGCCUAUCAGCUUGUUGGUGGGGUAGUGGCCUACCAAGGCGUCGACGGGUAGCCGGCCUGCGAGGGUGGACGGCCACAUUGGGACUGGGAGACGGCCCAGACUCGGACGGGAGGCAGCAGUGGGGAAUAUGGCACAAUGGGCGCAAGCCUGAUGCAGCGACGCCGCGUGGGGGAUGACGGCCUUCGGGUGGUAAACUCCUUUCGUUAGGGACGAAGCCGCACUUUUUUUGGGUGUGGUGACGGUACCUUUGUGAAGAAGCACCGGCUAACUACGUG
rnacentral:rRNA from 1 species